rnacentral:tRNA from 1 species
UACAUUUUAGUAUAUGAUGUACAUAAGUUUUUGAUACUUAGGGGAAUAGUUUAAUUCUAUUAAAUGUAG